rnacentral:rRNA from 1 species
AACGAACGCUGGCGGCAGGCUUAACACAUGCAAGUCGAACGCACCUUUCGGGGUGAGUGGCAGACGGGUGAGUAACGCGUGGGAAUCUACCCUUCUCUACGGGAUAGCUCCGGGAAACUGGAAUUAAUACCGUAUACGUCCUGAGGGAGAAAGAUUUAUCGGGGAAGGAUGAGCCCGCGUUGGAUUAGCUAGUUGGUGGGGUAAAGGCCUACCAAGGCGACGAUCCAUAGCUGGUCUAAGAGGAUGAUCAGCCACAUUGGGACUGAGACACGGCCCAAACUCCUACGGGAGGCAGCAGUGGGGUAUAUUGGACGAGGGGCGCAAGCCUGAUCCAGCCAUGCCGCGUGAGUGAUGAAGGCCCUAGGGUUGUAAAGCUCUUUCAGAGGGGACGAUAAUGACGGUACCCACAGAAGAAGCCCCGGCUAACUUCGUG